AUGGAAUUAUUCAACCGGACAGGCUCAGGCUGUUCCCUAAAACAAUUUGCAAAGUGCAAAUAUCAUCCUUGAUGUAUCAAGACUGGAUGCUGCUAAAAAAAAAAAAAAAGAAAGAAAGAAAGAAAGAAAAGAAAAAAGAAAAGAGAAAAGAAAGAAAAGUGGAACACUGAUUGGCUUUUUUGAUGAUAUUAAGGAAUCAUCGUUACUUUUCCCUCUAAGAAUUUGGCCUGUUUUAGGAAGGAAGGCAAGCCCUUCUCCAGGAAGCCACUCAUUACUGAGUGCAGGCAAGUAUGUCAUCUCAGUGCAAGAGUUGUGGGAGGAAGCCAUAUGAUAAUUGUCUUUCUCUGAUGAACUUAUUUGGCUCAGCAUAAUACCCUCCAGUUCCAUCCGGGGCGAUAUAAAUGGCUCUUUUCACAAUGUGACUGGAACUUCUACCAAGAAGGAUGACUCUCUUCCCUCUCCUUGGAACAAACAGAGACUUGUGACUGCCCUGGCCAAGGGAGUAGGCAGAUGGGAUGCUGUGUGAUUUCUAAGGAUGCCUUAAAGGCGAAGUUUCAUUUCCGCCUCUGGAAUCCCAGACGUUCCACGCUGUCCAGGAAAUAGAUGUCACUUCUCCACCGGAUCCUACAAGAAAUGAGAUCAAUAGGGUGGAAAAAGAGGAAAGGCAUGAUUUUGAAUUAGCCACGGCUGUGUGUCCACAGUUUUCCUGCUACACCUGUGUUUCUUCUUUGAGCUCCUGUUCAGACACUCUGUGCCGGAACCAGGUCAUGUAGGAGAGGGACUGAGGGGACCUUGCAGACUGGUAAUAAGCAGUUGUUAUUGAGCUAAAGGAAUCCAGUUCUAAAAGUAGUAAGGGGUCAGGAAUCCAUUUGCUACCUGUCAUUCCCGCUGCCACAGUCCCAAUCCUACGAUGUCAGCUUCUCCUCUCAGGAAUAUUUCCAUGGCUUCUAGGAGACAACUGCUACUUGACCAAAAAUAUGCUUUCUCCUCUUCGUUUAUUGAUAACCGAAAGCCAGUUGGUACUGGCAACAUGCCAAACUAAAAACUGCUUUCCCAGCCUCCCUUGGAGAUUGGGGAAUGCAUUAGCUAUCUGUUGCUGUGUAACAAAUCCCCACAAGAUUGGCCUAAAACAACACACAGUUGUUAUCAUAGAGUUCCAAUGGGUCAGGGACCUGAGCAUAUUUUCCUGGGUCCUUUCCCUCAUGCUCUUUCACCAGGCUGCGGUCAAGGUGUCAGCCAAAGCUGGGGUCAAUGGAAGGUUCCACUGGGGCAGACUGUGCUUCCAGACUCACGUGGUUGUUGGCAGAACUCAGUUCCCUUGGGGGCCGUUUUAUUGAGGGACUCAGUUCCUCGCUGACUGUUGGCCAGAGGGUGCCACACAAAGAAGGAAAUAUUCUCUCCAGUAGGGCUGCUUAUACCAUCCAAGUGUGCAAGGGGAAAAGGCAGUAGAGUCUGUUAGCAAGGCAGAGGGUACAGUCUCUUGUAACGUAAUCGUGGAAGUGACUCAACCUUUGCUGCGUUCCGUUGUUUAGAAGCACGUCGCGUCUAGCCACAUGGCAGAGGGUGCUAUUGUCUGAGCUUCUGGGCUCAGCUUUGCUUAUGGUACAAUCCUUGGACUUUCCAGCUACAGGAGAUAAUAAUCUUCUUCCCUCUUUUUGGCUUAAGCCCACCUGAGCUGAAUUUUCCAUCACUUGCAACCGAAAGAGAGUAUCCUCAUACUGUAGGCUUUAAUAAAUAUUUGAUGAGUGAAUUUAAAGGAAGUGCUGAAGAAUUGAUAAGCAAUUUUAGAACUCUGAAGGCUGGAGAUCCUAGAAAUAACACCCAGAGGUUGGCAAACUUUUUCUGUAAACAGCCAGCUAGUAAAUAUUUUAGGCUUUGCGGACCACACAGUCUCUGUCACGUCUAAUCAACUCUGCCACUGCAGCUCGAAAGCUGCUAUUGAUGAUAUGCAGAUGAGCAUGGCUAUGUUCCAAUAAAACUUUACUUACAAGAUUAGGCAGCAGGUGAGACUCAUCC